UGCAUCGGAGGGGCUGCAUCAGGUCGCACUGUGGAGACGCAGGUGACGUCACUUCCUCAAGCCCCACUCGCGGCAUUAUUUAGAAGACGACGACAAACAAAGUUAGGUCCUAGUAUCGUUUUUUUUUUUGUCUUGCAUAGGGAGCUCGCCUUCUUUGCGAAUGUCAACGUCCACAUAAACGUGUUCGCAUCUGAGUGGGACAUUUCGUCCCACCUCCCAGUUGGAAAAUGUGGUUUAAACCACUAGCGCCAUUCUCAUGUGGCCAAGUGAUAGACUGUACGCCGUGUCUUUUGUCAGUCCUUACAAAUGAGAUCUCAGAUUUGUUUGCUAGCACUUCUUUUUACAUAUAAUUUGAGGACUGUAUAGUGAUUCAUGUAAAACAUUCCGGUUGAUUCGUGUACCCUGCCUCAGUGCCCACUGGAAGUGAUGACUUUGCCUUCAGUGUAGCGUUCACUGUUGUCACUCCAUAUGCUCCGUCUCUUCACUCAGGGUAGGUCUGAGUCCACACAACGCCUUGUCCGUCUUCAUAGUACAUUUCUCAACAUUUUCUUCCACUACUGAUACUGUAUCAUAUUCUUGUAUCUAGAUAAUUGUUUUCAGAUUUUCUUUUCUUUCUUUUUUUUUUUGGUCGCUGAAAAUAAAACUACGUUAGUUAGGUUAGCUUGACAAAUCAUCCACAGACUUGAUGUAAUGGUUUUCUUAAAGGGAUAGUUCACCCAAAAAUGAAAAUUUGAUGUUUAUCUGCUUACCCCCAGGGCAUCCAAGAUGUAGGUGACUUUGUUUCUUCAGUAGAACACAAACCAAGAUUUUAAGCUCAAACCGUUGCGGUCUAUCAGUCUUAUAAUGUAAGUGGAUGGGAAUCAAGGCUAAAACAUACAAUAAAACUAAAAAAAAAAAUCAUACACAAACAAAACCAAAUUAAACCCUGUGGCUCGUGACGAUACAUUGAUGUGUAAAGACACAAAACGAUCAGUCUGUGCAAGAAACUGAACAGUAUUUAUUUUGUUUUUUGCGUUCUCAGCAGCAAGCGGUCAGGUGCGUAGAGGUGUCUUCUUGCUUUAUUGUGGAUCGCAGACUUAUAAGUGCAUUACCACCACCUGUCUCUCAAGUGGACCAUUGACACUCCUAAUUGAGAAUGCAGAUCGAGUGUCAAUAGUCCAUUUGAGAGAGAUCAGGAGAGUUCUAACAGUUCGGACAUUGCGUGAAUCCGAGGUAAAAAACAUAUAAAUACUGUUCAGUUUCUGCACAGACUGAUCG
rnacentral:lncRNA from 1 species